UGGAGGAACAGUUCUUUCGAUGAAGCGGGCGCGUGAGCGAUCCCGUGGAGAGAUCACUAGCGAGAAUGAUGACAUGAGUAGCGACAAAGAGUGUGAGAGACACUCUCGCCGAAAGUCCAAGGGUUCCUGCUUAAAGCUAAUCUGAGCAGGGUAAGCCGGCCCCUAAGCCGAGGCCGAAAGGCGUAGGCGAUGGGAACCAGGUUAAUAUUCCUGGGCCAGGAGGAUGUGACGGAUUGCGAAGGUAGUUUGCUCUUAUCGGAUUGAGCAGGCUGCUGAGCAGUCCCUGGAAAUAGCCCUCCAUCAGACCGUACCCUAAACCGACACAGGUGGACUGGUAGAGAAUACCAAGGCGCUUGAUAGAACUCGGGUGAAG
rnacentral:rRNA from 1 species